AAAAUUAUGAGUUUGAUCCUGGCUCAGAAUAAACGCUAGUAGUAUGCUUAACACAUGCAAGUCUAAUGGAAAUUUUUUUUCAUGGCGUACGGGUGAGGAGUGUGCAAAAUGCUACCUUUUAGUUUAGAAUAAAAAUACUCAUUUAGAGUAUUAAAUUCUAAAUAACUAAAAAAAAAUUUUUAUUAAAGGUUAUAUUUUUUAAUAUAUUCUGCUAAAAGAUGGGUUUGUGCAAGAUUAGGUAGUUGGUAAAUUUAACAGCUUACCAAGCCUUCGAUCUUUAGUUGGUCUUAGAGGAUGUCCAACCACACUGGAAUUGAAAUAAGGUCCAGGCUGAUUUUCGGCCAGCAGUGAGGAAUAUUGUACAAUGAACGAAAGUUUGAUACAGCAAUACUAAAUGAAUGAUAAAUAAGAUGUGUUCAUUUUAUUGACGGCUUUUUUUAAGGUUGUAAAAUUCUUUUGUUAAGAAUGAUAAUGACAUUACUUAAAGAAGUUUUUAGUCCUGGCUAAUACUCGUGCCAGCAGCCGCGGUGAUACGGGAAGGGCAAGCGUUAUUCAUCAUGAUUGGGCGUAAAGAGUCCGUAGACUGUAAAGUAAGUUAUUUGUUAAAUAUUUAAGUAUAACUUAAACAAUGCUUUUAAUACUGCUUUACUUGAGUUUUAUACAGAAAAAUAAAAUUUUAUACGUAAGGGUGAAAUCUAAAAAUAUAUAAAGGAAUACCAUUAGCGAAGGCAAUUUUUUAGUAAAAACUGACGUUGAGGGACGAAAGUUUGGGUAUCAAAUCGGAUUAGAGACCCGAGUAGUCCAUACUGUAAAUUCUGAGUGCUGUAAUUUAAUAUAAGUAAUUCUAGUAUAUGCUUAUUUAGAUUUUUAAGCUAACGCCAUAAGCACUCCGCCUGAAGAGUACGAUUGCAAGAUUGGAAUUCAAAGGAAUUGACGGGGGCUAGGAGCUAGUGGUGGAGCAUGUGGUUUAAUGCGAUAACCCGCGCAAAACCUUACCAAUUUUUGACAUAAAAAUUUAAAUAUAUUUUACCUAAUAAUAGUAAAUUAUAUUAAAAAUUUUUACAGGUGUUGCACGACUGUCGUCAGUUCGUGUUGUGAAAUGUCUGGUUAAGUUCUUUAACGAGUGUAACUCUUAUUUUUAAUUUUUAUUAAUUUAAAAAAUAAAAUUAUUUUUUAAAUAAUUUUAGAAAAACUGUCAAUGAUAAAUUGAAGAAGGGUGAGAAUUAAGCCAAGUCAAUGUGACCCUUAUAAAUUGGGCUACACAUGUGCUACAAUGAAAAUUACAAAAAGUUAUAAAAAUUUGAUUUUUAAUUAAUCUAUAAAAAUUUUCCCAGUACGGAUUGUUUGCUGAAACUCGCAAAUAUGAAGAUGGAAUCACUAGUAAUCGCAAAUCAUCACGUUGCGGUGAAACUUUUAUCUAGCCUUGUACACACCGCCCGUCACAUGCAGAGAGUCAGUUUUAUUUGAAAACUUAAAAUAAAGUUCAUUGAAAAAUUGGUGAUUUGGAUGAAGUCGUAACAAGGUAGCUGUACGGGAACGUGUAGCUGGAAAAAAUGAAAA
rnacentral:rRNA from 1 species